rnacentral:lncRNA from 1 species
AAAAGAGAAGAAAAUUGAGUACUGUAGUGUCAAGUCAUAAAGACCCGAGGACUAUUUUAGAAGAAACUUUUGAAUCAAUGAAUUCACGCAUAUUAGAAAUAGUGAAAGUAUUUUAAAGACAAACAAAUUACAGCGAAUUUCAAAUGAACAGGAUCUCCUGGAAGCUGUAGGUAUACUGUAUUGUUAACAGUUUAACUUAAGACUUCAUCAUAUGUAGGUACCUGCAUUCAGAUGUGUUAGUCUGAGAUGAAUCCUGUCCCUAAUCUAAGGUGAAAUUUUCUUCCAUUGCAAGGCAAAAAAAUUCCGCAUGAAAACAUAGAACAGAGUUUAUAAAGCCAACAGAUGGCAGUCUGGAAAUAAAUCCUUUCUGAGACAGAAUUAAGGCCUUGAACUUGCUGAGUGCUGACUAUCUCCAUACAAGUGCUAUGUGUCUUUUGUUUUCCCUAGCUUCAGAGAGCACAGCAAUUUUUCCAAAACCUUUGAAUUUUUCCAGUUUCCUAAGCAUUUAAAUAUUUGGAAAUCUAUUUGUGUAGAUUUUAAGCUGAAAUCAGGUCACUUUGUUUCUUGUCAUGAAAUAACUCACUGCAUCUAUGUUUAGAAAUAUGAGAAGAUAAAAAAUGAGUAUCAGCUUCUAGCAGAAGAGAAACAGAUAAUGGAGAAUGAACUUAAAAAAAAAAAAGAAAGAGGAAGAAAACCUAAGACAAGAAGAAGUAAUACCAGCAUAUGGGAAUACCUUUUUAGCGAAGUUGGGAAAAAAAGUGCUAGUGAGAAAGAKGCCGCCGCCCCUGCUGCCGCCGCCCCUGCUGCCGCCGCCCCUGCUGCCGCCGCCCCUGCUGCCGCCGCCCCUGCUGCCGCCGCCCCUGCUGCCGCCGCCCCUGCUGCCGCCGCCGCC